rnacentral:rRNA from 1 species
AGAGUUUGAUCCUGGCUCAGGAUGAACGCUGGCGGUAUGCCUAACACAUGCAAGUCGAACGAUGUCUUCGGACAUAGUGGCGGACGGGUGAGUAACGCGUGAGAAUCUGCCUCUAGGAUGGGGAUAACGGUUGGAAACGACCGCUAACACCCAAUAUGCCGUAAGGUGAAAAAUUUAUUGCCUGGAGAGGAGCUCGCGUCUGAUUAGCUAGUUGGUGGGGUAAGAGCUCACCAAGGCUUCGAUCAGUAGCUGGUCUGAGAGGAUGAGCAGCCACACUGGGACUGAGACACGGCCCAGACUCCUACGGGAGGCAGCAGUGGGGAAUUUUCCGCAAUGGGCGAAAGCCUGACGGAGCAAUACCGCGUGAGGGAGGAAUGCCUUUGGGUUGUAAACCUCUUUUCUCAGGGAAGAAGAUCUGACGGUACCUGAGGAAUAAGUAUCGGCUAACUCCGUGCCAGCAGCCGCGGUAAUACGGAGGAUGCAAGCGUUAUCCGGAAUCAUUGGGCGUAAAGCGUCCGCAGGUGGUUUCCAAAGUCUGCUGUUAAAGACUGGAGCUCAACUCCGGAACGGCGGUGGAAACUUGGAAACUAGAGUUCGGUAGGGGUAGCAGGAAUUCCCAGUGUAGCGGUGAAAUGCGUAGAUAUUGGGAAGAACAUCGGUGGCGAAGGCGUGCUACUGGACCGUAACUGACACUCAGGGACGAAAGCUAGGGGAGCGAAAGGGAUUAGAUACCCCUGUAGUCCUAGCUGUAAACGAUGGAAACUAGGUGUGGCUUGUAUCGACCCGAGCCGUGCCGUAGCUAACGCGUUAAGUUUCCCGCCUGGGGAGUACGCACGCAAGUGUGAAACUCAAAGGAAUUGACGGGGGCC